UCCCUGGUGGUCUGGUAAUUAAGACUCAGCACUUUCACUGCUGAGGCCAGGGUUCAAUCCUUGGUCAGGGAA
rnacentral:tRNA from 1 species